rnacentral:rRNA from 1 species
UACCUGCAGCCCGAGUGGUGGCCGUUAUUAUUGGGCCUAAAACGUCCGUAGCCGGUUUGGUAGAUGCCUGUGUAAAUCGAACGGCUUAACCGUUCGAACUGCGGGUAGACCGCCAGACUUGGGACCGGGAGAGUCACGAAGUACUCCGGGGGUAGAGGUGAAAUUCUGUAAUCCUCGGGGGACUACCGGUGGCGAAGGCGUCGUGUUAGAACGGCUCCGACGGUGAGGGACGAAGCCCUGGGGCGCAAACCGG